rnacentral:misc_RNA from 1 species
CCAAUAGCGUAUAUUAAAGUUGUUGCAGUUAAAAAGCUCGUAGUUGAAUUUCGGGGUUAGUAGGUUGGUCAUGCCUCUGGUAUGUACUGGUCUCACUGAUUCCUCCUUCCUGAUGAGCCGUAAUGCCAUUAAUUUGGUGUUGCGGGGAAUUUGGACUGUUACUUUGAAAAAAUUAGAGUGUUUAAAGCAAGCUAACGCUUGAAUACAUUAGCAUGGAAUAAUGAAAUAGGACGUUCGAUCCUAUUUUGUUGGUUUCUAGGAUAGACGUAAUGAUUAAUAGGGAUAGUUGGGGGCAGUAGUAUUCAAUUGUCAGAGGUGAAAUUCUUGGAUUUAUUGAAGACUAACGACUGCGAAAGCAUUUGCCAAGGAUGUUUUCAUUAAUCAAGAACGAAAGUUAGGGGAUCGAAGACGAUCAGAUACCGUCGUAGUCUUAACCAUAAACUAUGCCGACUAGGGAUCGGAUGAUGUUAAUUUGUUAAUGACUCAUUCGGCGCCUUACA